rnacentral:rRNA from 1 species
GUCUUCGGCCAUGCCACCCUGAACACGCUCGAUGUCUGAUCUUGGAAACUAAGCAGGGUUGGGCCUUGUUAGUACUUGGAUGGGAGACCAGCUAGGAAGAGUAGGUGCUGUAGGCA